rnacentral:rRNA from 1 species
UACGUAGGGCGCAAGCGUUGUCCGGAAUUAUUGGGCGUAAAGAGCUCGUAGGCGGCCUGUUACGUCUGCUGUGAAAUCCCGGGGCUUAACCCCGGGCGUGUAGUGGAUACGGGCAGGCUGGAGGCAGGCAGGGGAGAACGGAAUUCCCGGUGUAGCGGUGAAAUGCGCAGAUAUCGGGAGGAACACCGGUGGCGAAGGCGGUUCUCUGGGCCUGUACUGACGCUGAGGAGCGAAAGCGUGGGGAGCGAACAGG